UACGAAGGGGGCUAGCGUUGCUCGGAAUCACUGGGCGUAAAAGGCGCGUAGGCGGCCAUUCAAGUCGGGGGUGAAAGCCCAGGGCUCAACCCUGGAAUUGCCUUCGAUACUGUUUGGCUAGAGACCGGAAGAGGUAAGUGGAACUGCGAGUGUAGAGGUGAAAUUCGUAGAUAUUCGCAAGAACACCAGUGGCGAAGGCGGCUUACUGGUCCGGUUCUGACGCUGAGGCGCGAAAGCGUGGGGAGCAAACAGG
rnacentral:rRNA from 1 species